AGAACUACUUGGGAAACUUUUAAAAUAUGAAGGCAAGAAUCGGUUAUCAGCAUUUGAAGCAACCAAGCAGCUAUUUUUCAAGCCUCUUGGGCCUAAGGCUCAUUACCUUAAAGACACGCAAUCAUUGUUUGAUUUAGAAGAAUGUAAACUCACCAAAGAUCCUGGUAUUCGAUCAUCGUCAGUACUUGGAGUAGGUAAGUGAAAACGCACGUGUAUCAUUGUGGCGAGUGAAUUUCAAUCGUUACUCUACUAAAGGUUGAUGUUCUGGGAAUGCAUUACUUGUGUGUAUUACUCUCUCCACACUAUUUUGUGACAAAAACAUGUGACAUGUCUAAAUAUGGUCAUGAUUACAUCACAUGACCAUAUAUAGGCACAUCAUGACUAUAUAUGGGCACAUCAUGACUAUACAUGGGCACGUCAUGACUAUACAUGGGCACAUCAUGACCAUAUAUAGGCACGUCAUGACUAUAUAUGGGUAUACAACAGUUUCUGGUCAAAGAAAAUUUGAUAGUCCGGACAGAGCUUAAUGUGCUGUUCAUACACACAUUUUAUGUGACAAAUAUAUGUGAUGUGACAUUUGUGGGCAUGAUUAUGUCAUAUUACACCUAAAUGUGGCCACAUCAUGCUUAUUUGUCACAUAACAUUUGAUAGUGUGGCCAGAGAUUUAAACAGUUGUCAUGAAAUGGCUUUGUGAUAAUAACAUCAUUGUAGUUUGAAGUUGCUUUCGUAUUUAUUUAACAGUUUGGUAAACGGGUGUUUGAGGAUUGAUGUGUCAAAGGCCAGACUUUUUAUACCUUGUUUAGUAUUCAGGAAAAAAAAUAUAAAGGCAGAAAUUAAUUUUAUUAAUUUGAUAAAAUUAUGCAAUAAACAUCUAGAUAGUAGAGAAAAUAAAAAUAUUGCUAAUUCAAAAUCAACUAAAAAUGUAGACGUUAUUUGAGACUAAAAACUAAAAACUUUUCAUAGUUUUGAUAGAGUCCUAGUCCUGUCCAGAGUAUCAAAUAUGUGACAAACACAUGUGACAUGCCUAAAUAUGGUUAUGAUGACAUCACAUCAUGACCAUAUAUAGGCACAUCAUGACUAUAUAUGGGCACAUCAUAACCAUAUAUAAGCAAGUCAUGACUAUACAUGGGC